AGUGAACGCUGGCGGUAGGCCUAACACAUGCAAGUCGAACGGCAGCACAGUAAGAGCUUGCUCUUACGGGUGGCGAGUGGCGGACGGGUGAGGAAUACAUCGGAAUCUACUUUUUCGUGGGGGAUAACGUAGGGAAACUUACGCUAAUACCGCAUACGACCUACGGGUGAAAGCAGGGGAUCUUCGGACCUUGCGCGAUUGAAUGAGCCGAUGUCGGAUUAGCUAGUUGGCGGGGUAAAGGCCCACCAAGGCGACGAUCCGUAGCUGGUCUGAGAGGAUGAUCAGCCACACUGGAAAUGAGACACGGCCCAGACCCCUACGGGAGGAAGCAGGGGGGAAUAUUGGACAAUGGGCGAAAGCCUGAUCCAGCCAUCCCGGGUGGGUGAAGAAGGCCUUCGGGUUGUAAAGCCUUUUUGCUGGGAAAGAAAAGCAGCAGGUUAAUCCCCCGCUGUUCUGACGGUACCAAAAGAAUAAGCCCCGGCUAACUUCGUG
rnacentral:rRNA from 1 species